rnacentral:rRNA from 1 species
GUCCCUGCCCUUUGUACACGCCGCCCGUCGCUACUACCGAUUGAAUGGCUCAGUUAGGCGUCCGGACUUGCCCAGAGAGGUGGGCAACUACCACUCAGUGCCGGAAAGCUCUCCAAACUCGGUCAUUUAGAGGAAGUAAAAGUCGUAACAAGG